rnacentral:ribozyme from 11 species
GUCUCUUUUUCUUUGUUCUUUCUUUCUUUCUUUCUUUCUUUCUUUCUCCUGCACUCUUGUACACAAAGAGACAAAGUUUUGAGAGACUG